UCAUGGGCGCAGGCCUGAACCAGCCAAGUAGCGUGAAGGAUGACUGCCCUCUGGGUUGUAAACUUCUUUUAUACGGGAAUAAAGUGAGGCACGUGUGCCUUUUUGUAUGUACCGUAUGAAUAAGGAUCGGCUAACUCCGUGCCAGCAGCCGCGGUAAUACGGAGGAUCCGAGCGUUAUCCGGAUUUAUUGGGUUUAAAGGGAGCGUAGGCGGACGCUUAAGUCAGUUGUGAAAGUUUGCGGCUCAACCGUAAAAUUGCAGUUGAUACUGGGUGUCUUGAGUACAGUAGAGGCAGGCGGAAUUCGUGGUGUAGCGGUGAAAUGCUUAGAUAUCACGAAGAACUCCGAUUGCGAAGGCAGCUUGCUGGACUGUAACUGACGCUGAUGCUCGAAAGUGUGGGUAUCAAACAGGAUUAGAUACCCUGGUAGUCCAAGGGCGAAUUC
rnacentral:rRNA from 1 species